CGUAGGGUGCGAGCGUUAAUCGGAACUACUGGGCGUAAAGUGUGCGCAGGUGGCCGCGCAAGUCGAGUGUGAAAUCCCCGAGCUUAACUUGGGAAUUGCGCUCGAAACUACGUGGCUCGAGUGUGGCAGAGGAAGGUGGAAUUCCACGUGUAGCGGUGAAAUGCGUAGAGAUGUGGAGGAACACCGAUGGCGAAGGCAGCCUUCUGGGCCAACACUGACGCUCAUGCACGAAAGCGUGGGGAGCAAACAGGAUUAGAUACCCUGGUAGUCCACGCCCUAAACGAUGAUGACUAGUUGUUGGGGGAGUUAAAUCCCUUAGUAACGCAGCUAACGCGUGAAGUCAUCCGCCUGGGGAGUACGGUCGCAAGAUUA
rnacentral:rRNA from 1 species